AUUGAACGCUGGCGGCAUGCUUUACACAUGCAAGUCGAACGGUAACAGGCCGCAAGGUGCUGACGAGUGGCGAACGGGUGAGUAAUGCAUCGGAACGUGCCCAGUCGUGGGGGAUAACGCAGCGAAAGCUGUGCUAAUACCGCAUACGAUCUAUGGAUGAAAGCGGGGGACCGUAAGGCCUCGCGCGAUUGGAGCGGCCGAUGUCAGAUUAGGUAGUUGGUGGGGUAAAGGCACACCAAGCCAACGAUCUGUAGCUGGUCUGAGAGGACGACCAGCCACACUGGGACUGAGACACGGCCCAGACUCCUACGGGAGGCAGCAGUGGGGAAUUUUGGACAAUGGGCGCAAGCCUGAUCCAGCAAUGCCGCGUGCAGGAAGAAGGCCUUCGGGUUGUAAACUGCUUUUGUACGGAACGAAACGGUCCGGGCUAAUACCCUGGGCUAAUGACGGUACCGUAAGAAUAAGCACCGGCUAACUACGUGCCAGCCGCCGCCGUAAGAC
rnacentral:rRNA from 1 species